GACGAACGCUGGCGGCGUGCUUAACACAUGCAAGUCGAACGGAAAGGCCCUGCUUUUGUGGGGUGCUCGAGUGGCGAACGGGUGAGUAACACGCGAGUAACCUGCCCUUGACUUUGGGAUAACUUCAGGAAACUGGGGCUCAUACCGGAUAGGAGCUCCUGCUGCAUGGUGGGGGUUGGAAAGUUUCGGCGGUUGUGGAUGGACUCGCGGCUUAUCAGCUUGUUGGUGGGGUAGUGGCUUACCAAGGCUUUGACGGGUAGCCGGCCUGAGAGGGUGACCGGCGACAUUGGGACUGAGAUACGGCCCAGACUCCUACGGGAGGCAGCAGUGGGGAAUAUUGCACAAUGGGCGGAAGCCUGAUGCAGCAACGCCGCGUGCGGGAUGACGGCCUUCGGGUUGUAAACCGCUUUCGCCUGUGACGAAGCGUGAGUGACGGUAAUGGGUAAAGAAGCACCGGCUAACUACGUG
rnacentral:rRNA from 1 species